GUCCAUGGCCAUGCCACCCUCAGCAAGCCUGCUGUCUGAUCUCGGAAGCUAAGCAGGGUUGGGCCUGGUUAGUACUUGGAUGGGAGACCACCUAGGAAGACCAGGUGCUAUAGGCG
rnacentral:rRNA from 1 species